rnacentral:rRNA from 1 species
CCUACGGGAGGCAGCAGUCGAGAAUUUUUCUCAAUGGGGGCAACCCUGAAGGAGCGACGCCGCGUGGAGGAUGAAGGCUUUCGGGUUGUAAACUCCUGUCAUUUGAGAACAAUGGCUACGCGUUAACUGCGCGGAGCUUGAUAGUAUCAGAAGAGGAAGGGACGGCUAACUCUGUGCCAGCAGCCGCGGUAAUACAGAGGUCCCAAGCGUUGUUCGGAUUCAUUGGGCGUAAAGGGUGCGUAGGUGGCGCCGUAGGUGGGGUGUGAAAUCUCGGGGCUUAACUCCGAAACUGCAUUCCAUACUGCGGUGCUUGAGGACUGGAGAGGAGACUGGAAUUUACGGUGUAGCAGUGAAAUGCGUAGAGAUCGUAAGGAAGACCAGUGGCGAAGGCGGGUCUCUGGACAGUUCCUGACACAGAGGCACGAAGGCCAGGGGAGCAAACGGGAUUAGAUACCCCGGUAGUCCUGGCAGUAAACGGUGCACGUUUGGUGUGGGAGGAUUCGACCCCUUCCGCGCCGGAGCUAACGCGUUAAACGUGCCGCCUGGGGAGUACGGUCGCAAGAUUAAAACUCAAAGAAAUUGACGGGGGCCCGCACAAGCGGUGGAGUAUGUGGCUUAAUUCGAUGCAACGCGAAGAACCUUACCUGGCCUUGACAUGCAUCUCUAAGCGCGUGAAAGCGCGUGACUCCCGAAAGGGAGAAUUUGCACAGGUGCUGCAUGGCUGUCGUCAGCUCGUGUCGUGAGAUGUUGGGUUAAGUCCCGCAACGAGCGCAACCCUGUGAACUGUUGCCACGUCCUUGAUUGGACAGCACUCUGUUCAGACUGCCCUGUGAAACGGGGAGGAAGGUGGGGACGACGUCAAGUCAGUAUGGCCCUUACGGCCAGGGCUGCACACGUACUACAAUGCCCAGUACAGAACGAUCCGAGACCGCGAGGUGGAGGAAAUCUAGUAAAACUGGGCUCAGUUCGGAUUGGAGGCUGCAACUCGCCUCCAUGAAGCCGGAAUCGCUAGUAAUGCCGUAUCAGCUACGACGGCGUGAAUACGUUCCCGGGCCUUGUACACACCGC